GAUGAACGCUGGCGGCGUGCCUAAUACAUGCAAGUCGAGCGAACGGACGAGAAGCUUGCUUUUCUGAUGUUAGCGGCGGACGGGUGAGUAACACGUGGAUAACCUACCUAUAAGACUGGGAUAACUUCGGGAAACCGGAGCUAAUACCGGAUAAUAUUUUGAACCGCAUGGUUCAAAAGUGAAAGACGGUCUUGCUGUCACUUAUAGAUGGAUCCGCGCUGCAUUAGCUAGUUGGUAAGGUAACGGCUUACCAAGGCAACGAUGCAUAGCCGACCUGAGAGGGUGAUCGGCCACACUGGAACGGAGACACGGUCCAGACGCCUACGGGAGGCAGCAGUAGGGAAUCUUCCGCAAUGGGCGAAAGCCUGACGGAGCAACGCCGCGUGAGUGAUGAAGGUCUUCGGAUCGUAAAACUCUGUUAUUAGGGAAGAACAUAUGUGUAAGUAACUGUGCACAUCUUGACGGUACCUAAUCAGAAAGCCACGGCUAACUACGU
rnacentral:rRNA from 1 species